rnacentral:rRNA from 1 species
GAUGAACGCUGGCGGCGUGCCUAAUACAUGCAAGUCGAGCGAACAGACGAGGAGCUUGCUCCUCUGACGUUAGCGGCGGACGGGUGAGUAACACGUGGAUAACCUACCUAUAAGACUGGGAUAACUUCGGGAAACCGGAGCUAAUACCGGAUAAUAUAUUGAACCGCAUGGUUCAAUAGUGAAAGACGGUUUUGCUGUCACUUAUAGAUGGAUCCGCGUCGCAUUAGCUAGUUGGUAAGGUAACGGCUUACCAAGGCAACGAUGCGUAGCCGACCUGAGAGGGUGAUCGGACACACUGGAACUGGGACACGGUCCAGACUCCUACGGGAGGCAGCAGUAGGGAAUCUUCCGCAAUGGGCGAAAGCCUGACGGAGCAACGCCGCGUGAGUGAUGAAGGUCUUCGGAUCGUAAAACUCUGUUAUUAGGGAAGAACAAAUGUGUAAGUAACUAUGCACGUCUUGACGGUACCUAAUCAGAAAGCCACGGCUAACUACGUG